AGAGUUUGAUCCUGGCUCAGGAUGAACGCUGGCGGCGUGCCUAACACAUGCAAGUCGAACGAAGAGGCUCCUUCGGGAGUACUUCAGUGGCGGACGGGUGAGUAACACGUAGGUGACCUGCCCCGAAGCAGGGGAUAACGGCUCGAAAGGGCCGCUAAUACCCAAAAGGAUCGCGAGUCGCAUCGCGAUCAGAGUUACGGCGUUUCGGGAGGGGCCUGCGGCCCAUCAGCUAGUUGGUAGGGUAAUGGCCUACCAAGGCGACGACGGGUAGGGGGCUUGAGAGGGUGAUCCCCCACAUUGGCACUGACACACGGGCCAAACUCCUACGGGAGGCAGCAGUGAGGAAUAUUGCACAAUGAGCGAAAGCUAGAUGCAGCAACGCCGCGUGGACGAUGAAGGCCUUCGGGUCGUAAAGUCCUUUUCAGGGGGAAGAGUGAGGACGGUACCCCUGGAAUAAGUCACGGCUAACUACGUGCCAGCAGCCGCGGUAAAACGUAGGUGGCGAGCGUUAUCCGGAUUCACUGGGCGUAAAGCGCCUGCAGGCGGUCUUGUAAGUGGGGUGUUAAAUCUCCCGGCUUAACUGGGAGGGGUCAUUCCAUACUGCGGGACUGGAGGGCAGAAGAGGGAAGCGGAAUUCCCGGUGUAGUGGUGAAAUGCGUAGAUAUCGGGAGGAACACCAGUGGCGAAGGCGGCUUCCUGGCCUGCUCCUGACGCUAAGAGGCGAAAGCUAGGGUAGCGAACGGGAUUAGAAACCCCGGUAGUCCUAGCCGUAAACGAUGGAUGCUAGGUGUAGGUGGUCCUAACCCCAUCUGUGCCGAAGCUAACGCGUUAAGCAUCCCGCCUGGGGACUACGGCCGCAAGGUUAAAACUUAAAGGAAUUGACGG
rnacentral:rRNA from 1 species